UGGCGAUAGCGAAGAGGUCACACCCGUUCCCAUACCGAACACGGAAGUUAAGCUCUUCAGCGCCGAUGGUAGUCGGGGGUUUCCCCCUGUGAGAGUAGGACGCCGCCAAGC
rnacentral:rRNA from 7 species